CCCUUCCUCGUUCCAUGCUAUUAAACCCGAUGCCGAUCUGAAAUCCUGACUGUUGAAGGCUGCAUCAAAAUGAAUAAUGGUCCUACCGCUUCUGGACACCUGUUGAGAAAACUCAUGAGACAAAAGAGUAAUUUUUCCUUCCUUUGUAACUGCAAGUUCUGUAAUAUAAUCGCUGAUCUUCCUAACGAUUUCUGAUCCUGACAUAUUCUUUCUUUCAUAAACGAGCUGGUUUCUACUGAACCAUAUGAACCAGAGGCUACAACAGAAGAGUCGAAGUUGUUCAUCAGUUCCUCUAGCAAAGACCCAUUUAAGCCAACCCCAUAUAUUAUCAUUAUUCUAACUCAGUAGCCAUGAAAGAUUCAACUGAUUCCAAACUUCUAUCGAUGUAGGGCAUUUUUGGAAGAUAUGGUAGCUAUUCUCUUCAUCACAUCCACAUCUAGGACACUGGGAAUUCCUAACAACCCUUUUGAUUUUGAGGUUGCUAAAAGUUGGGAUAAAGUUCCAAGAGAUCCUCCAUACUGUCAUUUGAAUUUUUGAGGGAAUAUGUAAUUUCCAUAAUUUAGUAUAGAAAAUUUUUUCCUCGGUAUGUAACAUUAAUCCAUUAGGAUCAAGGUUAGUCUGCUGUAAUAGUUUAUAAGCACUCCUUACGGAGAACUCCCCUGUCGGUUCUCCUCUCCAUACUUGAAAGUCCUCUUGUACUGUCUCGCUAGUGGGAUCUGCAAAAUUUUCUCCGCAAUGACCGGUUGGAAGGUAUUUCUAAUCAACUCUAUUUUCCAACUCAUGAUAUUUGAAUCAAUUAAAUCAGAGACUAAUUUAAUAUUAUCAUUUCCAUCCUGAAUCGGUAUUCUGUCUGCUUCGAUCCCUGGUAUCCACGAAUCAAUCCAGAUGGAAAUUUGAUCACCUCUCCCCACCCUCCAUCCACGUCCUCUUUCAAGGAGUCCUCUCGCAGCCCAAAUGCUCUUCCAGGUAAAUGAAGGUAAAUUCCUCAACCGAGCUUCGUAGAAAUGAGAAUUAGGAAAAUAUUUUGCUUUCAAAACUCGGGCCAAUAAUGAAUCCGGAUAAUUAAUAAGACGCCACCCCUGCUUCGCUAAUAACGCAAUAUUAAACUGUGCAAAAUUACGAAAACCGAGACCUCCAUCUUCUUUAAGUAAACAAAUAUUCUUCCAAGUGCACCAAUGAAUACUUUUUUAUUUUGUCUCUUUCGCCACCAGAAAUUGGCUAUAAUUUUAUC
rnacentral:lncRNA from 1 species